rnacentral:rRNA from 1 species
CCAGACUCCUACGGGAGGCAGCAGUGGGGAAUAUUGCACAAUGGGGGGAACCCUGAUGCAGCGACGCCGCGUGAGUGAAGAAGUAUUUCGGUAUGUAAAGCUCUAUCAGCAGGGAAGAUAAUGACGGUACCUGAGUAAGAAGCCCCGGCUAACUACGUGCCAGCAGCCGCGGUAAUACGUAGGGGGCAAGCGUUAUCCGGAUUUACUGGGUGUAAAGGGAGCGUAGACGGCAUGGCAAGUCUGAAGUGAAAGCCCGGGGCUCAACCGCGGGACUGCUUUGGAAACUGUUAAGCUGGAGUGCAGGAGAGGUAAGUGGAAUCCCUAGUGUAGCGGUGAAAUGCGUAGAUAUUAGGAGGAACACCAGUGGCGAAGGCGGCUUACUGGACUGUAACUGACGUUGAGGCUCGAAAGCGUGGGGAGCAAACAGGAUUAGAUACCCCAGUA